rnacentral:rRNA from 1 species
CCCGCUCAGAAACUCAAAUGAAGUGACGGGGGCCCGCACAAGCGGUGGAGCAUGUGGUUUAAUUCGAUGAUACGCAGGAACCUUACCUGGGCUCAAAUGUAUGUUGACGUAUUCUGAAAGGGAUACUUCUUCGGACAAUAUACAAGGUGCUGCAUGGUUGUCGUCAGCUCGUGCCGUGAGGUGUCGGGUUAAGUCCCAUAACGAGCGCAACCCCUAUCAUUAGUUGCCAUCAGGUCAAGCUGGGGACUCUAAUGAAACUGCCUACGCAAGUAGUGAGGAAGGUGGGGAUGACGUCAAAUCAGCACGGCCCUUACGUCCAGGGCUACACACGUGCUACAAUGGCCGGUACAAAGGGCAGCUACCUGGUGACAGGAUGCUAAUCUCAAAAAGCCGGUCUCAGUUCGGAUCGGAGUCUGCAACCCGACUCCAUGAAGUUGGAAUCGCUAGUAAUCGCGCAUCAGCAUGGCGCGGUGAAUACGUUCCCGGGCCUU